UACGUAGGGGUGCAAGCGUUAAUCGGAAUUACUGGGCGUAAAGCGUGCGCAGGCGGUUAUGUAAGACAGAGGUGAAAUCCCCGGGCUCAACCUGGGAACUGCCUUUGUGACUGCAUAGCUAGAGUACGGUAGAGGGGGAUGGAAUUCCGCGUGUAGCAGUGAAAUGCGUAGAUAUGCGGAGGAACACCGAUGGCGAAGGCAAUCCCCUGGACCUGUACUGACGCUCAUGCGACGAAAAGCGUGGGGAGCAAACGAG
rnacentral:rRNA from 1 species